rnacentral:rRNA from 1 species
UACAGAGGGUGCAAGCGUUAAUCGGAAUGACUGGGCGUAAAGGGUGCGUAGGUGGCAAAAUAAGUUAGUUGUGAAAUCCCCGGGCUUAACCUGGGAACUGCAAAUAAUACUGUUUAGCUAGAGUUUAGGAGAGGAUAGUGGAAUUUCCGGUGUAGCGGUGAAAUGCGUAGAUAUCGGAAGGAACACCAGUGGCGAAGGCGACUAUCUGGCCUAGAACUGACACUGAGGCACGAAAGCGUGGGUAGCGAACAGG